AAGCUCGUAGUUGAAACUUGGGCCUGGCUGGCAGGUCCGCCUCACCGCGUGUACUUGUCCGGCCGGGUCUUCCUUCUGGAGAACCUCAUGCCCUUCACUGGGCGUGUUGGGGACCAGGACUUUUACUUUGAAAAAAUUAGAGUGUUCAAAGCAGGCCUUUGCUCGAAUACGUUAGCAUGGAAUAAUAGAAUAGGACGUGCGGUCCUAUUUUGUUGGUUUCUAGGACCGCCGUAAUGAUUAAUAGGGACAGUCGGGGGCAUCAGUAUUCAAUUGUCAGAGGUGAAAUUCUUGGAUUUAUUGAAGACUAACUACUGCGAAAGCAUUUGCCAAGGAUGUUUUCAUUAAUCAGUGAACGAAAGUUAGGGGAUCGAAGACGAUCAGAUACCGUCGUAGUCUUAACCGUAAACUAUGCCGACUAGGGAUCGGGCGAUGUUCUUUUUCUGACUCGCUCGGCACCUUACGAGAAAUCAAAGUUUUU
rnacentral:rRNA from 1 species